GGCCCUGUAGCCAAGUGGUAAGGCACGGCACUGCAACUGCCCGACCAUCAGUUCGAAUCUGUUCGGGGCCUCCA
rnacentral:tRNA from 1 species